GCAGUCGAGCGAUCGAUGGGAGCUUGCUCCCUGAGAUUAGCGGCGGACGGGUGAGUAACACGUGGGCAACCUGCCUAUAAGACUGGGAUAACUUCGGGAAACCGGAGCUAAUACCGGAUACGUUCUUUUCUCGCAUGAGAGAAGAUGGAAAGACGGUUUACGCUGUCACUUAUAGAUGGGCCCGCGGCGCAUUAGCUAGUUGGUGAGGUAAUGGCUCACCAAGGCGACGAUGCGUAGCCGACCUGAGAGGGUGAUCGGCCACACUGGGACUGAGACACGGCCCAGACUCCUACGGGAGGCAGCAGUAGGGAAUCUUCCGCAAUGGACGAAAGUCUGACGGAGCAACGCCGCGUGAACGAAGAAGGCCUUCGGGUCGUAAAGUUCUGUUGUUAGGGAAGAACAAGUACCAGAGUAACUGCUGGUACCUUGACGGUACCUAACCAGAAAGCCACGGCUAACUACGUGCCAGCAGCCGCGGUAAUACGUAGGUGGCAAGCGUUGUCCGGAAUUAUUGGGCGUAAAGCGCGCGCAGGUGGUUCCUUAAGUCUGAUGUGAAAGCCCACGGCUCAACCGUGGAGGGUCAUUGGAAACUGGGGAACUUGAGUG
rnacentral:rRNA from 2 species